AACUCAACAUUUUCUAAAUCACUGUCAUCUUUUCCCAUAAUCUGAAAACAGCAUUGACCCAAAAACAAACUGCAGGGCUGGUAGCGGUCUUAUUGCACUUCACUGAGCAAGGCAAUGGAUGGGUACUAAAUUACAGAGGAUUCUGUCGCCGGUAAGAGAUACAACAGAAAAGUGUAGUUAUUUUCGAUAUACUGAAUGUUGCAGGUAAGAAGAGAUCGACCAUUACAGAAUGAUACUGCUAUAUGAACUACAGGGAUUAAUGGGAAACGUCGGGCAGCUCCUACUAAAUUCAAAAUAUGCCAGGCUGAUUCCUUGAAGAACAAAAGAAGUUCUAUGUGCCUCUGUGUCCACCCAACAAUAAUGCUGGCAACGGUGUUCAUCCGGAACUGUCGUUAAAUAUUGGUGCUGUGUAUCAGACGGAUAUUGGCACCGAGUGUAUUGUUUCCCCCUACAAAUGACUGUUUACUUUCAGACUCACAACUUAUCUAUGUAUGCGGUAAUGAUACCAUUCGAACAUCUUUUCGUUAACUGAUGGUGGUAUGGAAGAAAACAUGAAUUCUUAUCAAACACUGAUGCGAGUGACGACAAAUUGUUGAGUAAGAAAUUACACAAAAUAGUAGAACAUUGUAAUAUAUUUGGGUUACAUAAAUCACUGGAAAUAGCAUGAGAAGUUAACAGUACACGCUAGGACAAACAGUAGGCUACAAGACUGCUAGCAAUACCCAAUAAUAUGACGACCAGUGUGUCACAUCCCUAGUUCUGGCCUGACCUAGGCUUGCUUCCAUCUGUGCAUCAUGUUUAAAUUUUGAAACUUGAACUGAGGAAAAUUGGAAGCCUCAAAAUCCUAAAUAAAAGAAGGGCAAAAACCCUAAAAUCUCAUUCAUUGUUCCAAAAUGUUUUUCUUAAAUGUUUGAUAAUUUUUGGCAAGGGUUCUGGUCCCAACCAAAAUAUUGAACAUUUUUAAGGAUU
rnacentral:lncRNA from 1 species